UUUUUAAAUUAGUAAAUACAAUUGUAUGCCAAAAAAGCUUUAAGCUACUAGAAACAUGCAUAACGUAUUGUUCCACCUCGUUUGUACAUCUUGUUUUAACCAUUUUUGAGGCAUUCGAAGUACAGUUUGAAUAUCUUCCUAGAGACAAUGCGCAGGUGGUAAAUGCUUAAAAUGCCCCACAAUUUUUCUUCUGUUGGCAACAACAUCACUUGCGCUUAGUUGCGAUAGCAGCCCCUCAUGUAUCACAAGCUGUAGCGAAUAUGCAAAACAGCCCAAGCUAGUGACUCCCAAAUCAGCCAUUGCUAUUUUCAUAUUACUUGCGUUUUCGUUUUACAAAUUGCCAAAAACUAAAUGUUUCCUAUGUGGAUUAAUCACGACUGAUACCUGAAUAUCGAAUCAGUGCAUCUCUAUUUUGUAUUAUUGUACAGACUCUUCUCAAACUACGGCCAGUUGCACAUGCAACCAAAAUUAUAGUGAAUGUAUAUAAUAAUAAAUUUUAGUUGGCCUAUACCAGUCAGCACUACCCUAUCUGGUGCACACUGCAUGCUGUACAUUAGUUGCAGUUGGAAAGUACAAUAUAUUGUAUAAUGGAUAAAUGGUAACGAAUGAUGAAAAUUUUGAGUCAUGUACAAAAAAUGUCUAAUGUAUGAGUGUCUUCUGCCUGUGGUAUGCAGAGUACUUUGGAGGGAAAAAAAUAUGAGGAGGGGGAUUUGAUUUUAAGGCAAUAGGUUCACACACCACUCCCUCCCCAGAAUACCAAGACCAGCCAACCCAACAAGAAGAAAACUAAAAGUAUCUUAGCCAUAUGAAAGAAACAGGGCAGCUUGGAUUGCUAAUGUAAGGGAGACUAUGACACUAUAACUUUUAUAUAUUACAUAUAAAUAUCAAGAACUUUCCCUGUGUUACAAUUCCUGAUAUGGUAUGCAUGCUAGUAAAUGUAUGAUGUGCUUUGAUUUAAAAUGUUUGUCCUUUUAUCUAUACAAAUUUCUUUACAUAGCAUCAUUUAAAUGGAGAGGAGGUGUAGGGGUACAAAGGGUUUGAUGUCUUAGGUGGGAGAUGGAAAGGUUUGAUAUGAAGGCCAAUUUUGUGGAUCAAGGUUUCCUAAAUUCGGGUUGCCAGAUGAUUCUCUGCCACCAGUAGGGUUCCAGGUACAAAGGGCACAAGAGCCAAUUAGAGACUGCCAUUAGGAAACUAAAGAGUUCCCAUACCACCUGAUCCACAGUGUACUCAGAAGAGUCCGUCUCUGUAGCCAUUGCCUACAGCCAGUCGAUGUCCAUUUCCUAUCUAAAUGUGUUUGCGCAAAGACUAGCUCUUAUAGCUAUUUCUGGAAUCUUUCUGCUGCCCACUCUUUGAUAGUUCUCCAGAGGAUGUGAACUGCUUGCAUCUAGGGUGUUAAAGAUUUUUGCUUUUUCUGGCCAAAAGACCAGUUUGACAGAUGCCUCAAUGAUCUAUUUUUGGGGCCUUGAAUUUACGUUGGUGGCAGUGGAAAAUGAAAGAAUAUGUUUAACAGAAUGGCCAAGUGUCUUAUGUAGAGAACUAUAUUGGUAACCCUGAAUCUGCUGGACUGUGUGUUUCGUGGAAUUUCUUCUACUGGAUUCAUCAUAACUGCUUAAAUUUGUAUGCUAUUAUCACUGAAUUAAUGUCAUGUUUUGUUUGUAGGAUAGUGCUAGUAGUCGUAAGUCCUUGUUUGGAUUCUAUUGUAAAGAAAUCAGCUCUUUCAAAAGGAAAAUUUGAUCAUGGAGGUUUUUGGUUUUUUAAACAGUUCAAUUUAAUUUGUAAAUGUACAUUUAUUACUCUUAAAAAGGAUAAUAAAUCCUUUCCCAAAUUCCAAUCAAUAACGGAUUUAUGUUUGACCAUGAAUUUUAAACCUACAGUCUAUAGAGGUUUUGCUAGGUGGUGUGUUAAUCUACCUACUGUGUGCAGAAGUAAUGCAUCUAGCAUAUUAAGAUAUUCAGAAAGUUGCAGAGCCAAGACAACCUUGUAUUAAUUAUUCUGUUUUUUCAGCCAGCUGUACAAAGAUUGUCAAUAAGUUUAUACAUUCAUAGAGAAAAUACACUUAACUCCAAGUCAUGUAUGAUUUAACAAGACUUUUUUUCUCCAUAAUUUUUUUAUUUUUUAAUUUCGCGUACACGCCCCCCUCAAUUUAUUUAUUUAUUUUAUUAAAAAUAACAUGCAGAUAGUGAAAAUGAGAGAAAUGUUGCAAUCCUGUAUCAGACAAGCAUAUUUUGUGAUAUGGAUCCGUAUUCCUUUUGGUUAAGUAUGGCUGUGAAACUGCCUUAAACAGUGUUACUCAUUUUACAAAUCUUUAUUCAAAAAAUUAUCCUUUCACAAUAUGACUAUUACACAUGUGUCAAACACCUUCCAAUGCCACUGGUGUAUUUUAACACUUUUGAAAGCUACUACCUGUUUGAAAUUACUUGAGUUAGGUGGUGUGUGGUCCAAACAGUGGGGGCCACUAGCGGUGUGAGCUGACAACCUUGAUAAGGUUAGUCUGAACCAUCACUUAUUUUACAGUAGGAUAAGCGGUUUGGAAAAUGGAUGGAUGGAUGAAAAGCAGUAAUACUGAUGAAUUAAUAGCAGUAAUACUGCAAUAAUUCUGCAAUGUGCUGUACUUGCCUACUUCAUUAUGGAGCUGAAGUUUUCUAUCUUGUGGAGGGUGGCACAGAGGUUGAGACAACUGGCAUGACAUAGAUCAUUUGCGAUCCUGAAUUCAUCCUUAUAGGGCCCACACACCAAGCAAAGCUGCACUUUAGUUGUGUUUAUGAAGUCUGGUAUGGAUAUUGUAAGAAUAAAUAUGAAUUUUACUAAAACUAACCAUGCAUCAUGUACUUGCAGCUCUCAAGGCAGGAUUAUAAUUGCAAUUGAAAACAUUUCCAUGAACUGAAAUAAAAUGUGAAAAUAAAUUACAACUAAACAACAGCUAUAAUUA